UGUUCAUGGGGGCUUUUGGAAAUGGACGGUCCGGAGUAAUAUAAAAGCGCCUCUUCAGUCGCGCUAAUGGAAACCAUCUGUAAUAUUUUAAGCAACACGCUCUCGAAUAAUUUUACAUGCGGUGUUACCACACAGUUUGCGAGAAGUUGAUAUUACAUGUACACAUUUCGAGAAGAGUCCGGCGCAAAAUUCAAAGAACCAAAAAAGAAAUAAUAAUGGGACCUAUAUACAUCAAUUCCUGGCAAUUUGCUGCAGCAGCAACAGAGCUUCGAUGUUUUCUCGUCGGAGUAGAAAGGAUGAUUGAUCCGGUAACUGUCCAAAUGAAUCAUUUUACGACAUUACAAAUAGCGAACGACCUUCAUUUCAAGAUUUAGGUCUAUUGGAAAAUAAAUUAAAAAUAUUUGUUGCUUCGUAAGUGUCCCGUGGGGCAUUUAACGGAAUGUACUCUUGCUAAAACAGUGAUUUAUUUAACUUCUCGUACAUCUAUUUCGUUCAAAUGAAUUUAAAAUUACCGAAAGUAUUAAGUUUGACGUUUUCACCUGUGAAAAGUGUGGGCAAUCAUCAGAUUAACUCAAAGGACUGGCUGUAUAAAAGCAAUUCGCUGAAUUAUGAAUUGAAACUGAUAAAUGGAGAUAAAAAAAAUUAAAAUAGGCUUUAUCUUAUCGAGAGUAUGUUGUUUCAAAUGAUAUAGAUGAUAUAGUCCAUUAGCGUGCCUGGGGGGGGGGGGCUUAUAUAUAGUUCCAUUUUCUGGAGAUCCCAAGAACCUGCAUGGAUGACUACGAAACUUAGAAUCAACAUCUUGUAUUCCUCUUUAAAGAAUACAAUAAAUUCAAUGAUCAAAUAAAA